rnacentral:rRNA from 1 species
UACGUAGGGUGCGAGCGUUGUCCGGAAUUACUGGGCGUAAAGAGCUCGUAGGUGGUUUGUCGCGUUGUUCGUGAAAACUCACAACUCAAUUGUGGGCGUGCGGGCGAUACGGGCAGACUGGAGUACUGCAGGGGAGACUGGAAUUCCUGGUGUAGCGGUGGAAUGCGCAGAUAUCAGGAGGAACACCAACGGCGAAAGCACUCUGCUGGGCCGACACUGACACUGAGAGACGAAAGCUAGGGGAGCGAAUGGG